rnacentral:rRNA from 1 species
UGGGGAAUAUUGGACAAUGGGGGCAACCCUGAUCCAGCGAUGCCGCGUGAGUGAAGAAGGCCUUCGGGUCGUAAAGCUCUUUAGGUUGGGAAGAAGGGUAUUAAGUGCAUAGCUUAGUACUUUGACGGUACCGACAGAAUAAGCACCGGCAAAUUCUGUGCCAGCAGCCGCGGUAAUACAGAGGGUGCGAGCGUUAAUCGGAUUUACUGGGUGUAAAGGGCGCGUAGGCGGUAUGAUAUGUGUGAUGUGAAAGCCCCGGGCUUAACCUGGGAAGUGCAUCGCAAACUGUUGUACUAGAGUAUAUGAGAGGGUGGCGGAAUUUCCGGUGUAGCGGUGAAAUGCGUAGAGAUCGGAAGGAACGUCAAUGGCGAAGGCAGCCACCUGGCAUAAUACUGACGCUGAGGCGCGAAAGCGUGGGGAGCGAACAGG